UCAAUGCCUGUCGUACAAAUUGCGUGCCUAGCUCUGCUGCAAAUCACUAUAUCAAAAUGUUUAUUGACCGCACAGUAAUGAGUAACACGUAUGAAAAUAUCAUUUAGGCGAAUGAAUAUUCAUCUUCUCUAAUAUGUCAGAUCCAGGAAUGUGUGCUCAAGGUCACCGAGCGUAUUUCAUAAACGCCUGGGAAAAUGUUUCCAAAUUUGCGAGGGGUUUCCAGACAGAUGACUCCUGUCAGCAUAUGUGCCCGGACCGCUCGGAGGGGCAGCAGUUCCUCACCUAACUUCGCUCCCCUUAAGUCUUCUGUAGACCGAGUGCAGCUUUCCCUAUUCCGCGCAUUUUCUCAACGCGGAGCCCAGCGAGGCUCUGCGAGGACAGCAGUGAGGUAGGGAGGGCCGGCACUGGGGAGCUGCCCCGCGGGCACCCCUCCUCUUUCCGAGGGACAGCUCACAGCCUCAGCUCUCCACCGGUUGCUUUUCUCUCCCGUUCCCUCUCUUAAAAAAAAAACAAUAGAAGCAGGUGACUACCCCCUCAUACGUAAAUGCCAGCGCUCCCUAUAUGACGAAGGCAGAGGUCCUCCUCCCGGAGCCGCUUUCCCUCAGCCUGCCGCCGCUGCGGUCGCAGUGGUCUUCCCCAGCCUCCCCCUCCCCUCCCCGUUCUGCUGUUGAUUUCUAACCGGGUUACGAUGACCCGGGCAGCGGGCGGGAGGGAGCGCGGGGAGA
rnacentral:lncRNA from 1 species